CAGCAGCCGCGGUAAUACGUAGGGGCCAAACGUUGUCCGGAUUUAUUGGGCGUAAAGGGCUCGUAGGCGGUUCAACAAGUCGGUCGUGAAAGCCCGGGGCUCAACCCCGGGACGCCGGUCGAAACUGUUGUGACUAGGGUCCGGUAGAGGUGAGUGGAAUUCUCGGUGUAGCGGUGGAAUGCGCAGAUAUCGAGAGGAACACCAGUAGCGAAGGCGGCUCACUGGGCCGGUACCGACGCUGAGGAGCGAAAGCAUGGGGAGCAAACAGGAUUAGAUACCCUGGUAGUCCAUGCCGUAAACGAUGAACACUAGGUGUGGCGGACUCAUUGACGUCUGCCGUGCCGAAGCUAACGCAUUAAGUGUUCCGCCUGGGGAGUACGGCCGCAAGGCUAAAACUCAAAGGAAUUGACGGGGCCCCGCACAAGCGGCGGAGCAUGCGGCUUAAUUCGAUGCAACCCGAAGAACCUUACCUGGACUUGACAUCAUGGGUCUACCUGUAGAAAUACGGGGUGCUUAUGCGCCCAUGACAGGUGGUGCAUGGCUGUCGUCAGCUCGUGUCGUGAGAUGUUGGGUUAAGUCCCGCAACGAGCGCACCCCCUGUCCUAUGUUGCCAGCACGUAAUGGUGGGGACUCAUAGGAGACUGCCGGGGAUAACUCGGAGGAAGGCGGGGAUGACGUCAAGUCAUCAUGCCCCUUAUGUCCAGGGCUGCACGCAUGCUACAAUGGGUGGUACAACGGGCUGCAA
rnacentral:rRNA from 1 species